GACGAACGCUGGCGGCGUGCUUAACACAUGCAAGUCGAGCGGUAAGGCCCUUUCGGGGGUACACGAGCGGCGAACGGGUGAGUAACACGUGGGUGACCUGCCCUUAGCUCUGGGAUAAGCCUGGGAAACUGGGUCUAAUACCGGAUAUGACUCCAUGACGCAUGUUGUGGGGUGGAAAGCCUUGUGCGGCUAGGGAUGGGCCCGCGGCCUAUCAGCUUGUUGGUGGGGUGAUGGCCUACCAAGGCGACGACGGGUAGCCGGCCUGAGAGGGCGACCGGCCACACUGGGACUGAGACACGGCCCAGACUCCUACGGGAGGCAGCAGUGGGGAAUCUUGCGCAAUGGGCGAAAGCCUGACGC
rnacentral:rRNA from 1 species